rnacentral:rRNA from 1 species
CUAAUACCGGAUGAGCUCUUACUCCUUGAGGAGUAUGAGGAAAGAUAGCUUCGGGCUUCGCAUCGGGACGGGCCCGCGGCCCAUUAGCUUGUUGGUGGGGGUAAAAGCCUACCAAGGCUUCGAUGGGUAGCUGGUCUGAGAGGACGAUCAGCCACACUGGGACUGAGACACGGGCCAGACUCCUACGGGAGGCAACAGUGGGGAAUCUUGCACAGUGCGCGAAAGCGUGAUGCAGCAACGCCGCGUGGGGUAAGAAGGCUUUCGGGUUGUAAACCCCUUUCAGUUGGGACGAAGCUUCGCCGGUUAAUAGCCGGCCGGAGUGACGGUACCUUCACAAGAAGCCCCGGCUAACUACGUGCCAGCAGCCGCGGUAAUACGUAGGGGGCAAGCGUUGUCCGGAAUCAUUGGGCGUAAAGCGCGUGUAGGCGGCCCGGUAGGUCCGCUGUGAAAGUCGGGGGCUCAACCCUCGAAUGCCGGUGGAUACUGUCGGGCUAGAGUGCGGGAGAGGCGAGUGGAAUUCCUGGUGUAGCGGCGAAAUGCGCAGAUAUCAGGAGGAACACCAAUUGCGAAGGCAGCUCGCUGGAACGUAACUGACGCUGAGACGCGAAAGCGUGGGGAGCAAACA